rnacentral:rRNA from 1 species
CCUACGGGAGGCAGCAGUGGGGAAUUUUGGACAAUGGGCGCAAGCCUGAUCCAGCAAUGCCGCGUGCAGGAUGAAGGCCUUCGGGUUGUAAACUGCUUUUGUACGGAGCGAAAACGGUCUGUUUUAAUACAGUAGGCUAAUGACGGUACCGUAAGAAUAAGCACCGGCUAACUACGUGCCAGCAGCCGCGGUAAUACGUAGGGUGCGAGCGUUAAUCGGAAUUACUGGGCGUAAAGCGUGCGCAGGCGGUUAUAUAAGGCAGAUGUGAAAUCCCCGGGCUCAACCUGGGACCUGCAUUUGUGACUGUAUAGCUAGAGUACGGUAGAGGGGGAUGGAAUUCCGCGUGUAGCAGUGAAAUGCGUAGAUAUGNGAGACACGA